rnacentral:rRNA from 1 species
CAGCCGCCGCGGUAAUACCGGCGGCCCGAGUGGCGGUCACUAUUAUUGGGCUUAAAGCGUCCGUAGCCGGGUUGGGAAGUCCUCCGGGAAAUCUGGCCGCUUAACGGUCAGAAUGCCGGAGGAUACUCCCAGCCUAGGGAGCGGGAGAGGCCGAGGGUAUUCCCGGAGUUGGGGUGAAAUCCUAUAAUCCCGGGAGGACCACCUGUGGCGAAGGCGCUCGGCUGGAACGCGUCCGACGGUGAGGGACGAAGGCCAGGGGAGCAAACCGGAUUAGAUACCCGGGUAGUCCUGGCUGUAAACGAUGCGGACUUUGUGUCGGACAAGCUAUGAGCUUGUCCGGUGCCGGAGGGAAACCGUUAAGUCCGCCGCCUGGGGAGUACGGCCGCAAGGCUGAAACUUAAAGGAAUUGGCGGG